GGGGCCUUAGCUCAGUUGGUAGAGCACCGCCUUUGCAAGGCGGGUGUCAGGGGUUCGAUUCCCCUAGGCUCCACCG
rnacentral:tRNA from 3 species